CGUAUCAAACCCUCAAACCACCACUGUUGUGUUCAUCUCCUCACCACGAGCAUAGCUAUACCCCCAGAUCACGACUCGGCUUAGUUUUUCCCCGACGAGUUACAAGCGAGUUAUAAGUUUUUAGCAAUUCUAAAGGCCUCCACUCAACUCCCCGAGGUCUUUAGUGAAGGUUUGAAGAAGAAACAACCUUGAAAGACACGAUUUUGAGAAGUCGGAGUUUAACCUAAACCUUUCAAACCAUUUUCAGCCACCUCCGUCCACUUUUUGGACUUCCAAAAGAAACCUUCAAAGAUUUCCAGAUUUACGGCGAGUUCAGAUAGCGGCAACCGGCGAGGACCACCGGAGAAGAUGACGAAAUACAUCCUAACGAUAGCACCGUUACCAUUUAAUGGAAUAUUCCGUCACUUUAACGAAAUAUUCUUAAUGGUCGUUAGGGCCUUCGUCAGUCUCUGCCCAUGUGUGGUGGCGUGUAGGGUCGUGCCCUAGGCAAUGCGUGGCUGCGCGUCUGACCUUUAAUCAGCUUUCUGUCAAGUUGUGUAGGUACAAUCAGUCAGUCUUUGUACCUCACACUACCAUUUUCAUGAAGCUUCCAUUCAUUAAGUGCUUCUUCUGAAACUAUCUUCUGCCUUACUUUUUGUAGUUCAGAAUCUUCAUGUUGUUUCUGCUUUAUAUAUUGAUCCAACUGAGGUGCUAGACUAAGAUUCACCAAAUAAGCACUUAUGUCAUCAUGUUGCACCUCUAGAUCAUAAUCUUGUAUUGUAUCAAACAUCUGUUUAUCCACCAACAUCAGACAAGACAAAGUGCUCCUGGUCUUUGUACUUAGCAUCAACAACUACAUUUUCUUUCCCAUGAUGAUAGAACAAUUCAAAAUUAUAAUCC